rnacentral:rRNA from 1 species
GGGUGUUUUUAGCAAUAUGGAACCACAUUGAACCAUCUCGAACUCAAAUGUGAAACAUUUUUGCGGUGACGAUACUAUGGGGGUAACCUCCUGGGAAAAUAACUCGAUGCCCUUCU